rnacentral:rRNA from 1 species
UACGUAGGGUGCGAGCGUUGUCCGGAAUUAUUGGGCGUAAAGAGCUCGUAGGCGGUUUGUCGCGUCUGCUGUGAAAACCCGAGGCUCAACCUCGGGCCUGCAGUGGGUACGGGCAGACUAGAGUGCGGUAGGGGAGAUUGGAAUUCCUGGUGUAGCGGUGGAAUGCGCAGAUAUCAGGAGGAACACCGGUGGCGAAGGCGGGUUGCUGGGCUGAUACUGACGCUGGAGGCGCGAAAGCUAGGGUAGCAAACGGG